CAGCAGCCGCGGGAAUACGGAGGGGGCUAGCGUUGUUCGGAAUUACUGGGCGUAAAGCGCACGUAGGCGGCUUGGUAAGUUAGAGGUGAAAGCCUGGAGCUCAACUCCAGAAUUGCCUUUAAGACUGCCGAGCUAGCAGGUGAGAGAGGUAAGUGGAAUUCCGAGUGUAGAGGUGAAAUUCGUAGAUAUUCGGAAGAACACCAGUGGCGAAGGCGGCUUACUGGCUCAUACUGGACGCUGAGGCACGAAAGCGUGGGGAGCAAACAGGAUUAGAUACCCCUGUAGUCCCUGUCUCUUAUAC
rnacentral:rRNA from 1 species